rnacentral:lncRNA from 1 species
GUUCCAGAAAGUGUAUUUGGAUGGAACCGGAACAUGGAACAGGACACACAGCAGGAUGCGGAGCAGUGUCAGAUGAGGCCAGAAAGGUGGGUGGGACUGGUCUUCAGGGGCUCCAGAUGAGGCUGAGGGGCUGGGCCUAGGUCCUGGAGUGGGGUCAGCUCUGGGACCCUUCUGGGGCUGUGUGGGGAAGGGGCUGGGGGCCAAGAGGUCCAGGAGGAGGCUGGCGAUGAGAUGGCUGGAAGCCAGGGGUUCAGGGAGGCCCAGGCUCCUGGUAUCAGGGUUCACCGGCUAUACUGAGGAUCCCCUGCCCCUGGCACCCAGCUGUGGAGGGGACACUGUCUUUGAGGCAUCACUGGUUCCACAAAAGGUAGGGGAAGGUCUUGAGGGACCACCCCAUGCCCUCAUUAAUCAACCAGAAGCUUGGCCCGGAGCAGCAGCGGGGAUUCCAGUAGCUGUGGGCAUACAGGAUGCUAGGGCGGCCACAACCCAGGCAGCUGAGGCCGAGCCACCUAGGAACGCAGGCUCAGAGCAGACCCUCUUGGGACAGACGGAGAAGGGGAGGGGGCGGGCUUCUCUAAGUUAAGCCGAUCACUGAGCACCUCACUGGACACGAGAGAAGGCAAGCCCCUCGGAGGACAGAAGGGAAGAGCCACAGACUUGGAGGCUGUGAAAGUGGAGACAGGUGGACCUGGGGUGGCAGCAAUGCGUGAAAUGCCAGGCCGUGCCCCCGCCCCAGGAGCCCAACAUGACACCAGCCCCCAGGGAAGCUGACUGUGCCACUUCAUCCAGCGCCCAUCAGUCGCCUUGGAGCAUCAGGAAUCCUGAGGGCUGGGGUCCCGGAGGAUCACAGAUGCUGGGGCACCUCAACCUCAGGGAGCCGCUCGAGAAGUUUCUUUUCUGAAGUGUCCACCUCCUUCUGGUCACCGGCUGGAGCUGGGACAGGGCCAGCACCUGUGUCUGGGUGGAACUUGAGCUGCCCCUCAGGGUGGGCAGCCGGGGCCUUGUGGCCUUGCUGCUGCUGCUGCUGCUGCUUCCGCUGC